GACGAACGCUGGCGGCGUGCUUAACACAUGCAAGUCGAACGGAAAGGCCCUGCUUUUGUGGGGUGCUCGAGUGGCGAACGGGUGAGUAACACGUGAGUAACCUGCCCUUGACUUUGGGAUAACUUCAGGAAACUGGGGCUAAUACCGGAUAGGAGCUCCUGCUGCAUGGUGGGGGUUGGAAAGUUUCGGCGGUUGGGGAUGGACUCGCGGCUUAUCAGCUUGUUGGUGGGGUAGUGGCUUACCAAGGCUUUGACGGGUAGCCGGCCUGAGGGGGUGACCGGCCACAUUGGGACUGAGAUACGGCCCAGACUCCUACGGGAGGCAGCAGUGGGGAAUAUUGCACAAUGGGCGGAAGCCUGAUGCAGCAACGCCGCGUGCGGGAUGACGGCCUUCGGGUUGUAAACCGCUUUCGCCUGUGACGAAGCGUGAGUGACGGUAAUGGGUAAAGAAGCACCGGCUAACUACGUGCCAGCAGCCGCGGUGAUACGUAGGGUGCGAGCGUUGUCCGGAUUUAUUGGGCGUAAAGGGCUCGUAGGUGGUUGAUCGCGUCGGAAGUGUAAUCUUGGGGCUUAACCCUGAGCGUGCUUUCGAUACGGGUUGACUUGAGGAAGGUAGGGGAGAAUGGAAUUCCUGGUGGAGCGGUGGAAUGCGCAGAUAUCAGGAGGAACACCAGUGGCGAAGGCGGUUCUCUGGGCCUUUCCUGACGCUGAGGAGCGAAAGCGUGGGGAGCGAACAGGCUUAGAUACCCUGGUAGUCCACGCUGUAGACGGUGGGUACUAGGUGUGGGGUCCAUUCCACGGGUUCCGUGCCGUAGCUAACGCUUUAAGUACCCCGCCUGGGGAGUACGGCCGCGAGGCUAAAACUCAAAGGAAUUGACGGGGCCCCGCACAAGCGGCGGAGCAUGCGGAUUAAUUCGAUGCAACGCGUAGAACCUUACCUGGGUUUGACAUGGAUCGGGAGUGCUCAGAGAUGGGUGUGCCUCCUUUGGGGUCGGUUCACAGGUGGUGCAUGGCUGUCGUCAGCUCGUGUCGUGAGAUGUUGGGUUAAGUCCCGCAACGAGCGCAACCCUUGUUCACUGUUGCCAGCACGUUAUGGUGGGGACUCAGUGGAGACCGCCGGGGUCAACUCGGAGGAAGGUGGGGAUGGCGUCAAGUCAUCAUGCCCCUUAUGUCCAGGGCUUCACGCAUGCUACAAUGGCUGGUACAGAGAGUGGCGAGCCUGUGAGGGUGAGCGAAUCUCGGAAAGCCGGUCUCAGUUCGGAUUGGGGUCUGCAACUCGACCUCACGAAGUCGGAGUCGCUAGUAAUCGCAGAUCAGCAACGCUGCGGUGAAUACGUUCCCGGGGCU
rnacentral:rRNA from 1 species